UACAGGAGGGGGCAAGCGUUGUUCGGAAUUACUGGGCGUAAAGGGCGCGUAGGCGGCCUGCUAAGUCGAACGUGAAAAUCCCCGGGCUCAACCCGGGAACUGCGUCCGAUACUGGCAGGCUUGAAUCCGGGAGAGGGGAUGUGGAAUUCCAGGUGUAGCGGUGAAAUGCGCAGAUAUCAGGAGGAACACCCGUAGCGAAGGCGGCACU
rnacentral:rRNA from 1 species